rnacentral:lncRNA from 1 species
GGUAUGACAUUGCAACAAAUUCAAAGAUAAGGUAUGACAUUGAAACUUUUUAAAGACGAGGUAUGAAACUGUUAAUGACCCAAUAGUUGAGGUAGUUUUAUGUAAUUUGCCCUGAUAUAUUUUACACUAAGGUGAGGGGGUUCGGCUAACCCACACAAUGGACAACUUAAUUUGAUAUCGAAUUUGCCAUCCACAAGAUUCGAACCUAAUACCUCUCAUUUGAGUAUUGAGUUUUAGGUAUAUUAAUUCAAUAUAGUAUAUUUCGGUACAUACAUUUCGAUACGUACAUACAUUUCAGUAUUGACAUUUAGGUAUAUUAAUUCAAUAUAAUACGUUUUGGUACAUGCAUUUGGGUUCAUUAUAAUAUAUGUUCGUACAAUCAUGUAGGUACAAAUAUUUCGGUACAAAAAAAGUUAAUUUUAUAUAUUUCAGCACAAUCAUUUCUGUACAGUUAUGUAUUUAUAUAUUUUUGUAUCACAAAUUUCUUUUAAUAUUUUCUCAUUUAUGUUCAUUUAUAAUUAAAGAACUAAAUAUGUGCAAAUUAAUAAAAUUUAAAUUUAAUGCGGAGAGAUUAAAUAAAAAAUACACAUUAAGUAACAAAAAUUGAAUAUAAAUUUUGAUAAAAGUACACUUCAAGAGAUUAAAUUGAAUAUGUAAUCUAGCAUAAAGUUUUUUUAAAAUUUUAAUCUUUUGCAAGGACUAAUGUUCAAAAACCCCAUCAAAAUAAGUAUGACACAUAGACAUAGUGCCAAAUUCAUAAAAAGAGGAAGGAACGGGUUGCUGAUAAAAUAUAUGUUCUUAUUAAAACAUAUAUCCAUGAACUUUCGAUAGAAACAAUCAAUAACUUAAAAAAAAAAAAGAAUUAAAAUAUGUGCACUAAUACAAUAUAGGAAGCCCGUUAUUAUUUUUGAGAUGCUUACGUACAAAAUGAAUUUGGCUAAUUUACAUCUGUGCACGUAAUUCAACGGCCCUUCUUGCUAUCUGCCCUUCUCGUGCAUGCAUGCAGCUUGAAUUAAUGUAUGCUGUUAGUCAAAAGAAAAAUUAAUGCACGCUGGAUUUUUUCGUCAUAACAAAUAAAACUCCUAUACUCAAAAAGUUGAUAUCAAUCCAAAAGUAUAAAAGUAUUUUACGAAAAAUUUAUAAAAUAUUAAAUUUUAAAAUUAAACCUUUGACCAAUUUUUCAAAUAAACAAACCUUCCUUGUUGUGGUGAUAAGCCAGCCAACGACCAACGUUUACUAAUCCAGUUUUCCUCUCAAUUGUAAUACCAUUGUGCCCUUCAAUAUGUCCUGGGCCAGCUCUUAGAAUUUGAGGGUUCUAGGUGAUCUUUUGAAGUGGGGUUCUAGAGUUUUCUAACUUCUGACCUUUUGUAUAUUGACAUAUAAUUUUUUUUUAUUAAAUACAUGAAAAAUCUAUUUCUACAUCAAAUAUCAUUAAAAAUUAAUAUAUAUAAAAAGAAAGAUAUACAUACAUUACUCAAAUAUUAUCCGUCUCGCGUUUUUAGAUGCAAAUGCACUUAUUAAAUUACAUAAUCUAAUUUUUCUACCAAUUCAAACCGAAAGAGAAGUCCUUACCCAGUGCGCCAAAUUCCAAUCAUUUUUCUAUUGUUACAAUGUUACUUAUUACAUUCAAUAAAUGAAUGAAUGGUUGGAUAUCUUACAGCUAGGGAAAAUACUAAGGUGAAUAGGAUAGUAAUUUUCGUAUAUGAACCUAGGUGGACGAGGCGGAUUUUGAAUAAUUUAUUAUAUAUAUUAUUGUUGACCCUAAAAACUACCAAGCCUACGUGGCGCGCAGGCCGAGUAAUCUAUAAGUUAACUACAUCCUUCGGUUGAAUGCGGGGCGUGUAACUCAUUGGCCGAGCUCGGCUGAGGAGUAAAUUUUGUUGAUGUUGCAUUGGGUGCGCAGCUGACUUCUAUGUCUUGCGAUUGCGACCGAGGAAGGAACACGUCUCUGAAGGGAAAAUUAUGAGUUUUACACAUAGGGAUUUCGAAAUGACUAUCAUGCAUAUGCAAAUCAAAUUUUAUAUACGAAAGCAGCGGAAGCAUUUAACACAAAUUAUCAAAGCUAUAGUCAUGCAAAUCCCCUUCAAGGUUCAUAGGUUUAUAUAUAAUGCAUCAAAACAUUUUAGAGAAGAACAAAGUGAAGGUUUAGUCUUAUACCUCUUGAUCUAGACUUGAGACCAAGGAUGGACCACCUCUAAGCCCUUUGCUCCUUGAACUCCUUGAGCCUAGCCUCCCUCCUUGCCUCCUCCACUUUGUUGGUAAGAGUGCUCCAAGGUUCUCCUUUAGUCUCCAAAGGAGAAGACCUCUAAAGAUCCACACCCACUAGUGUAGUGAGAUGGAUGGAGGAAUAACCAAAAGGGUGAAAAAUUGUUAGCUAAAACACCCUCAAGGUGGCCGGCCUUUGUGUAGUUUUAGAGAGAUAUUUCUUUUGCCUCUUUGUUGUUUUAAACACACAAAAACCCUAAGGAAUAAAUCUCUAUAAAGUUCCUUAUAUAGACAAAAAGAAACCUAGUCAACAACUUGACUAA